rnacentral:rRNA from 1 species
UACGUAGGCAGCAAACGUUGUUCGGAGUUACUGGGCGUAAAGAGUACGUAGGCGGUUUGCCAAGUUUGGUGUGAAAUCUCCUGGCUUAACUGGGAGGGUGCGCCGAAUACUGGCGGGCUUGAGUAUUGGAGAGGAAAGCGGAAUUCCUGGUGUAGCGGUGAAAUGCGUAGAUAUCAGGAGGAACACCGAUGGCGAAGGCAGGUCUCUGGGCAUUAACUGACGCUGAGGAGCGAAAGCAUGGGGAGCGAACAGG